UACGUAGGUGGCAAGCGUUGUCCGGAUUUAUUGGGUUUAAAGGGUCCGUAGGCGGAUCUGUAAGUCAGUGGUGAAAUCUCACAGCUUAACUGUGAAACUGCCAUUGAUACUGCAGGUCUUGAGUGUUGUUGAAGUAGCUGGAAUAAGUAGUGUAGCGGUGAAAUGCAUAGAUAUUACUUAGAACACCAAUUGCGAAGGCAGGUUACUAAGCAACAACUGACGCUGGAUGGAACGAAAAGCGUGGGGAGCGAACAGG
rnacentral:rRNA from 1 species